UAGGGAAUCUUCCGCAAUGGGCGAAAGCCUGACGGAGCAACGCCGCGUGAGUGAUGAAGGUCUUCGGAUCGUAAAACUCUGUUAUUAGGGAAGAACAAAUGUGUAAGUAACUAUGCACGUCUUGACGGUACCUAAUCAGAAAGCCACGGCUAACUACGUGCCAGCAGCCGCGGUAAUACGUAGGUGGCAAGCGUUAUCCGGAAUUAUUGGGCGUAAAGCGCGCGUAGGCGGUUUUUUAAGUCUGAUGUGAAAGCCCACGGCUCAACCGUGGAGGGUCAUUGGAAACUGGAAAACUUGAGUGCAGAAGAGGAAAGUUGAAUUCCAUGUGUAGCGGUGAAAUGCGCAGAGAUAUGGAGGAACACCAAUGGCGAAGGCGACUUUCUGGUCUGUAACUGACGCUGAUGUGCGAAAGCGUGGGGAUCAAACAGG
rnacentral:rRNA from 1 species